rnacentral:lncRNA from 1 species
CAUUAGGAUUUUUGAAUGAAAGUGAGUGAGAGCUCAUAAGUGGGAGUUGAACAAUGAUAACUCAUGGACAUGAGCUUUUUGAGAAAAUGGUUUUGGGACAGUGCCCAUAUGAAUGCGGAAAUACUGCUUGAGGUAGAGGUGAGAGUUAGUAUUGAUAUGCUGGGCCUUUGAGUGGCUCCUUGACAUGAUGGUUGUCAAGCCCAAAGCCUUGAAACGAGGCAUUCUACAGGCAAA